rnacentral:tRNA from 4 species
GCCGGGUUGGGGUAGGGGAUAUCCUUGGGGACUGUGGAUCCCCGGACCCGGGUUCAAUUCCCGGACCCGGCC